UACAGGGGGGGCAAGCGUUGUUCGGAAUUACUGGGCGUAAAGGGCCAGUAGGCGGCCGACUAAGUCCGACGUGAAAUCCCAAGGCUUAACCUUGGAACUGCGUCGGAUACUGGUGGGCUUGAAUUCGGGAGAGGGAUGCAGAAUUCCAGGUGUAGCGGUGAAAUGCGUAGAUAUCUGGAGGAAUACCGGUAGCGAAGGCGGCAUCCUGGACCGACAUUGACGCUGAACGGCGAAAGCUAGGGGAGCAAACGGG
rnacentral:rRNA from 1 species